GACGAACGCUGGCGGCGUGCCUAACACAUGCAAGUCGAACGAAGUGGCGUACGGGUGAGUAACGCGUAAUCAACCUGCCCUUCAGAGGGGGACAACAGUUGGAAACGACUGUUAACACCGCAUACUGAAGGAGGGGACUGCGUCUGAUUAGCUAGUUGGGGGGGUAACGGCCCACCAAGGCGAUGAUCAGUCGCCGGUCUGAGAGGAUGAACGGCCACAUUGGGGUUGAGACACGGCCCAAACUCCUACGGGAGGCAGCAGUGGGGAAUCUUCCGCAAUGGACGAAAGUCUGACGGAACAACGCCGCGUGAGUGAUGACGGCCUUCGGGUUGUAAAGCUCUGUUAAUCGGGACGCGGUACCGGAAUAGAAAGCCACGGCUAACUACGUGCCAGCAGCCGCGGUAAUUC
rnacentral:rRNA from 1 species